CCAAAUAUGCUGGUAGAAGCUCUUUUAUGCCUAAUUCUUCAACUGAUCAUUUAUUAUUUCGUUACUUUAAAGGAGGGUCAUUAUCAUUAUUAAACAAACAGUACGAGAAUAUUUAUUAGAAAAACACUCCCCUUAUUCCAUAGGGAUUUUAACGGUCACUGUAUGUAUUAUUUGAUACAAAAAAUUAAACAAGGAUGCUCACUAAGAGAAGGGAGAAUCUGACAAUGUUGAUGAUUAUAUAUGCACAAGGGUACUAAGAGCUGAGACAACAGCAUGCUUAAUAGAAUUCAAUAAUAACAAACUCUAACUGACUCAACAGAUGAGAAUUAUACUCUCUACAAUCUUUCAUACUUUUUUUUAUAACAUGGUGCAGCUAAUGUUUUAUUAUAUUAUUUUUUGUAGCAUUUAUUAUCCUUCAUAGCUAGUCACGACUAAGUGUACAUAUGUUACAGCAGGUUGGCAGAUGCAAAAUAUAUAUAAAGAGAAAGCAAUUAAUUUUAUACCU